rnacentral:lncRNA from 1 species
GAUUAAGAAUGCAUACUUAAUUUACAUGCAUGAAUUUGAUGCUAGAAUAUAAGUGAAUUUCACCUAAUCGUUAUAAACUUAUAUUCAUAAGUAGUGAAGGUUGCUAGUCACAAUCACGUUAAGUAAAUUCUAGGCUGGAUUAACAUGCGUAUUCCAUAGUUAUGAAUGUCUAGUCAAUGCUUAUGAUUUCCAUUAAACUUAAUGAUCUUUGAUAUAUGUCUCUAUCAUGCGUAUUCCAUAGUUAGGGUCCUUGAUAAGAAUAAUUUGGUUGUAAUGCGUAUCCCAUUCAAUUCAAUGAAUCUAGGGAAAUCUGAGAAUUAAUUGGUCGAUCUAGUUAAUUUGGGGCAUUGAGAUUUACAAUUUAUUGAAAGAACAACUGAAAAUCAAUUUAGGUUGCAUAUGUGUCAUGUGUGGAG